GAUAUCCCUUUCAAGUCCUAACCUUAUGGUCUUAUUUCGUGGUGUUGUUCAUACACAUUAUCGGUCAAGUUAUUUUCUUUUCAAGAGUCAAACAUGCAAGUCAUAAGACAAAACAAUUUGGAAACCAACUUCAAACCUUUUGUUAAUCCAUUUCAAUUUAUUUCAUGUCAUUGUAAACCGUUACAUUUGAUUCCAUACAAGAAAAAUACAAAAAAAUUGACACUUUGACCAAUUGUUGACUUUGGUCAACAGUUGACUUUUUGGUCAACUUUGACCAAAGUCAACCCAAAACCCAAAAGCCCUAAUUUUCACCACAAUCAUCAAUCAUUUGUCCAUUUACAAGAAAAAUGCAAAUAAAAUUGAAUUCUAACCAAUUGUUGACUUUGGUCAACAGUUGACUUUUUGGUCAACUUUGACCAAAGUCAACCCUAUGCCAUUGGUCAUCCUUAAUCACUAAAUGACUAGUCCUAACUCUCAUGACAUUAUCCAUGUCC
rnacentral:lncRNA from 1 species